UCCUUUGAGCUGUGUGUGGACUUUAUAGG
rnacentral:piRNA from 1 species